rnacentral:tRNA from 1 species
GCGGAUAUGGUGGAAUUGGCAGACACGCAAGAUUUAGGAUCUUGUGCAGCGAUGCGUGCAGGUUCGACCCCUGUUAUCCGCACCA